UCACCACUAAUAAAAAUGUUGGAACCCUAAUUUUUAUCACUCUCUAAGUACUUCGUUCUUCUAUACCUCGGUUUCUCUCUGCCUGCGGCUGAGUAUUCCAAACGAUUUAACAUUCUCUGAUUCUGUUCGGUUCCUUCAGCUUCCAAGAAAAAGAACAACAAAAGGUAAUUUUAUCUUCUACAUUUUUUGUGUGCUUUCUUCUUACAUUAUCAUAUUAUUAUUAAUAUUUUAAAAAUUUUAAAAUCCCAAUCCAUUUCUUCAAGUCACUGAUUUCUUCUAAUUUUGUUUUUGUCUCCAAACAGAUCUAUGAAUGAGGCAACAAAACACCUUUGUUAUGCUUGGUUGGCUCUAUUGUUUGUAAUGUCCAACCAUCUCCGACUGUAAUUUCUUUGAUUAAAACAAAGGUAUUAAUAUAUUUUUUUUACAAGAAUUAUUUAUUUUUGGUAUGAGUUAUUAUUUAUUAUUAUUUAGAUUAAAUAUGUUUUUAGAUUUUAUAAAAUUAGAUUCUUUAAGAUAUAAAAAUAAAUAAAAAUUAUGUUAUUUUAAGGUACUUUAUUUAAUUAUAUUCUGAAUAAUGAUAAAAUAUUCAACUCGAGCAGAAUGAGGUUGAUCACCAAUCACCGAAUAUUGAG
rnacentral:lncRNA from 1 species